CGAGCCGAACACGAGCUGGGGUCAGCUCGCUCGUGUUCGGCUCGAUAACAGCUCGAAUACAUAUAUUUAAUAUUUAUAUAAUUUAUUUAAUUUAUAUUUAUAUAUAAAUAAAUAACUAUAUAUAUAUAUAAUAUUUUUUUAUUAUUUGAUUUUUAGCAAAAUAAAAAUAUAAAGGCGAUCUCAAUCAUAAAAAGGCUCAUUUAUACGUAAAGUUUCAACUAUUACAUCAAAGUCUAAUGGAUAAAAUUUUAUAAAUUUAUUUUUUAUAUAUAUUCAAGCUAAUCCUUUUAACUUAUUGUUUGUUGGCCAGCUCGUGAGCCGGCUCGUGUUCGGCUCAUUUAUUAAUGAGUCGAACACGAGCUGAAUUUUUCGAAUCGAUAUUUUAACGAGCCAGAUUGUGUUCAGCCGAACACCAGCCGGCCCCGGCUCGCUCGUGUUCGACUCGUUUACACCCCCUACUAGGGGGAACCGCAAUCAUCCCAAUGUAGGGAUGCAAAUGGAUCCGGGUUAGUGAAAUUUCCAUGAUGAUCUGUCUCGAAUGGGACAGUAAGUGAGAGCAAAAUAUAUAGAAAAAUAUAAUCCGCCACGAAUCCGCCCUGAUUCGCCGAGUUAAUGAAGUGGGAGGUAGGGGAUCCUUUUCGUCUUCGAUCUAUCCCUAUUCAUAAAAAAAUUUAUCAAAAAUUCAUUUUCGUUCUGAUUCGCUCUAAAUAAAAUGAUAAAUAUGAGCCAAAAAUAAAAAUAAAAAUAAAAAUAAAAAUUAA
rnacentral:lncRNA from 1 species